rnacentral:rRNA from 1 species
GAUGAACGCUAGCGGCAGGCCUAAUACAUGCAAGUCGAACGAUAUUAUCCAGCUUGCUGGAUAUGAAAGUGGCGCACGGGUGCGUAACGCGUAUGCAACAUACCUUAUUCAGGGGGAUAGCCCGAAGAAAUUCGGAUUAACAACGCAAAAAAUAAAAGUUCAGCAUUGGACAAUGAUCAAAUAUUUAUAGGAAUAAGAUGGGCAUGCAUGUCAUUAGCUAGUUGGCGGGGUAACGGCACACCAAGGCAACGAUCAGUAGGGGUUAUGAGAGGAAGGUCCCCCACAUUGGAACUGAGACACGGUCCAAACUCCUACGGGAGGCAGCAGUGAGGAAUAUUGGUCAAUGGGCGGAAGCCUGAACCAGCCAAGUAGCGUGCAGGAUGACGGCCCUAUGGGUUGUAAACUGCUUUUAUACAUGAAUAAAGUUAGCCACGUGUGGUUAUUUGUAGGUACUGUAUGAAUAAGGACCGGCUAAUUCCGUGCCAGCCGCCGCAGUAA